rnacentral:tRNA from 1 species
GGUCCCGUGGCCCAAUGGAUAAGGCGCUUGUCUACGGAACAAGCGAUUCCAGGUUCGAUCCCUGGCGGGAUCA